AUUGAACGCUGGCGGCAUGCUUUACACAUGCAAGUCGAACGGUAACAGGUUAAGCUUACGAGUGGCGAACGGGUGAGUAAUGCAUCGGAACGUGCCCGAUCGUGGGGGAUAACACUUCGAAAGAAGUGCUAAUACCGCAUACGAUCUGAGGAUGAAAGCGGGGGACCGUAAGGCCUCGCGCGAUCGGAGCGGCCGAUGUCGGUUUAGGUAGUUUGUGGGGUAAAGGGUCACCAAGCCGACGAUCUGUAGCUGGUCUGAGAGGACGACCAGCCAGACUGGGACGGGGACACGGCCCAGACUCCUACGGGGGGCAGCAGUGGGGAAUUUUGGACAAUGGGCGCGAGCCUGUUCCAGCAAUGCCGCGUUGAGGAAGAAGGCCUUCGGGUUAGAAGCUGCUUUUGUACGGAGCGAAAAGGCUCUCUCUAAUACAGGGGGCUCAUGACGGUACCGUAAGAAUAAGCACCGGCUAACUACGUGCCAGCCGCCGCCGUAA
rnacentral:rRNA from 1 species